UACGAACUGUGCAAACGUUAUUCGGAAUCACUGGGCUUAAAGGGUGCGUAGGCGGCUUGCUAAGUAGGGUGUGAAAGCCCCCGGCUCAACCGGGGAAUGGCGCCCUAAACUGGCGAGCUGGAGUGAGAUAGGGGUGUGCGGAACUUCCAGUGGAGCGGUGAAAUGUGUUGAUAUUGGAAGGAACGCCUGUGGCGAAAGCGGCGCACUGGGUCUCAACUGACGCUGAGGCACGAAAGCCAGGGGAGCAAACGGG
rnacentral:rRNA from 1 species